AACGAACGCUGGCGGCAUGCCUAACACAUGCAAGUCGAACGAGACCUUCGUGUCUAGUGGCGCACGGGUGCGUAACGCGUGGGAACCUGCCCUUAGGUUCGGAAUAACUCCCCGACAGGGGUGCUAAUACCGGAUAAUGUCUUCGGACCAAAGAUUUAUCGCCUUUGGAUGGGCCCGCGUUGGAUUAGCUAGUUGGUAUGGUAAAAGCCUACCAAGGCGACGAUCCAUAGCUGGUCUGAGAGGCUGAUCAGCCACACUGGGACUGAGACACGGCCCAGACUCCUACGGGAGGCAGCAGUGGGGAAUAUUGGACAAUGGGCGAAAGCCUGAUCCAGCAAUGCCGCGUGAGUGAUGAAGGCCUUAGGGUUGUAAAGCUCUUUUACCCGGGAUGAUAAUGACAGUACCGGGAGAAUAAGCUCCGGCUAACUCCGUG
rnacentral:rRNA from 1 species